AGCAGAAUAUGAAGGUCAAGACUUCACACACAGAUAUACAAGUGCUAAAAGUAAAGCCUCUUUUGCAACCUAUUGUAGAACUCAUUGUACAGUAUGAGUUUUGAUACAUAUAAGAAGGAACAUU